CACGUAGGGGGCGAGCGUUAGUCCGGAUUUAUUGGGCGUAAAGAGCUCGUAGGCGGCUUCGGUAAGUCAGGUGUGAAAACUCUAGGCUCAACCUAGAGACGCCACCUGAUACUGCUGUGGCUAGAGGUUCGGUUGAGGGGAGCAUGGAAUUCCUGGUGUAGCGGUGAAAUGCGCAGAUAUCAGGAGGAACACCAGUGGGCGAAGGC
rnacentral:rRNA from 1 species